rnacentral:rRNA from 1 species
AACGCUAGCUACAGGCUUAACACAUGCAAGUCGAGGGGCAGCAUGGUCUUAGCUUGCUAAGGCCGAUGGCGACCGGCGCACGGGUGAGUAACACGUACCCAACCUGCCGUCUACUCUUGGACAGCCUUCUGAAAGGAAGAUUAAUACAAGAUGGCAUCAUGAGUCCGCAUGUUCACAUGAUUAAAGGUAUUCCGGUAGACGAUGGGGAUGCGUUCCAUUAGAUAGUAGGCGGGGUAACGGCCCACCUAGUCUUCGAUGGAUAGGGGUUCUGAGAGGAAGGUCCCCCACAUUGGAACUGAGACACGGUCCAAACUCCUACGGGAGGCAGCAGUGAGGAAUAUUGGUCAAUGGGCGAGAGCCUGAACCAGCCAAGUAGCGUGAAGGAUGACUGCCCUAUGGGUUGUAAACUUCUUUUAUAAAGGAAUAAAGUCGGGUAUGGAUACCCGUUUGCAUGUACUUUAUGAAUAAGGAUCGGCUAACUCCGUGCCAGCAGCCGCGGUAAUACGGAGGAUCCGAGCGUUAUCCGGAUUUAUUGGGUUUAAAGGGAGCGUAGAUGGAUGUUUAAGUCAGUUGUGAAAGUUUGCGGCUCAACCGUAAAAUUGCAGUUGAUACUGGAUAUCUUGAGUGCAGUUGAGGCAGGCGGAAUUCGUGGUGUAGCGGUGAAAUGCUUAGAUAUCACGAAGAACUCCGAUUG